GAAUAUAAUACUGAGAAUAGUCUGCCAUGGACAGAAACAUGGUACUGAGAAUAGUCCUGCCACGAGCAGGAAUGUGGGAUUUAGAAUAGCCCUAUCACGAUAGAAAUGUAGUGCUUGAGUUUACCAAUCACAUGCUAGAGUGUGAUUGCGAUUAGACCAAAAUUCUAAAGAUAACUAUUGAUUGAUUCAGAUCAUAGUA
rnacentral:lncRNA from 1 species